rnacentral:rRNA from 1 species
AUACGUAGGGUGCGAGCGUUGUCCGGAAUUACUGGGCGUAAAGAGCUCGUAGGUGGUUUGUCGCGUCGUCUGUGAAAUUCCGGGGCUUAACUCCGGGCGUGCAGGCGAUACGGGCAUAACUUGAGUACUGUAGGGGAGACUGGAAUUCCUGGUGUAGCGGUGAAAUGCGCAGAUAUCAGGAGGAACACCGGUGGCGAGGGCGGGUCUCUGGGCAGUAACGGACGCUGAGGAGCGAAAGCAUGGGUAGCGAACAGGAUUAGAUACCCUGGUAGUCCAUGCCGUAAACGGUGGGCGCUAGGUGUAGGGGUCUUCCACGACUUCUGUGCCGUAGCUAACGCAUUAAGCGCCCCGCCUGGGGAGUACGGCCGCAAGGCUAAAACUCAAAUGAAUUGACGGGG